AACUCUUAGCGGUGGAUCACUCGGCUCGUGUGUCGAUGAAGAACGCAGCUAGCUGCGAGAACUAAUGUGAAUUGCAGGACACAUUGAUCAUUGACACUUCGAACGCACUUUGCGGCCUGUCUGAGGGUUG
ensembl:rRNA 5_8S_rRNA 5.8S ribosomal RNA